rnacentral:rRNA from 1 species
CCUCCCUCUGGCGGCGUGCUUAACACAUGCAAGUCGAACGGAAAGGCCCUGCUUUUGUGGGGUGCUCGAGUGGCGAACGGGUGAGUAACACGUGAGUAACCUGCCCUUGACUUUGGGAUAACUUCAGGAAACUGGGGCUAAUACCGGAUAGGAGCUCCUGCUGCAUGGUGGGGGUUGGAAAGUUUCGGCGGUUGGGGAUGGACUCGCGGCUUAUCAGCUUGUUGGUGGGGUAGUGGCUUACCAAGGCUUUGACGGGUAGCCGGCCUGAGAGGGUGACCGGCCACAUUGGGACUGAGAUACGGCCCAGACUCCUACGGGAGGCAGCAGUGGGGAAUAUUGCACAAUGGGCGGAAGCCUGAGGCAGCAACGCCGCGUGCGGGAUGACGGCCUUCGGGUUGUAAACCGCUUUCGCCUGUGACGAAGCGUGAGUGACGGUAAUGGGUAAAGAAGCACCGGCUAACUACGU